rnacentral:rRNA from 1 species
GCCAGACUCCUACGGGAGGCAGCAGUGAGGAAUAUUGGUCAAUGGUCGUAAGACUGAACCAGCCAAGUAGCGUGCAGGAUGACGGCACUAUGGGUUGUAAACUGCUUUUAUGCGGGGAUAAAAUGCGUCACGUGUGAUGUUUUGUAGGUACCGCAUGAAUAAGGACCGGCUAAUUCCGUGCCAGCAGCCGCGGUAAUACGGAGGAUGCGAGCGUUAUCCGGAUUUAUUGGGUUUAAAGGGUGCGUAGGCGGGUUAUCAAGUCAGCGGUAAAAUCGUGGAGCUCAACUCCAUCCAGCCGUUGAAACUGAUGAUCUUGAGUGGGCGAGAAGUAUGCGGAAUGCGCGGUGUAGCGGUGAAAUGCAUAGAUAUCGCGCAGAACUCCGAUUGCGAAGGCAGCAUACCGGCGCGCAACUGACGCUCAUGCACGAAAGCGUGGGUAUCGAACAGGAUUAGAUACCCUGGUA